rnacentral:rRNA from 1 species
CCUACGGGAGGCAGCAGUGGGGAAUAUUGGGCAAUGGGCGCAAGCCUGACCCAGCAACGCCGCGUGAAGGAAGAAGGCUUUCGGGUUGUAAACUUCUUUUCUGAGGGACGAAGAAAGUGACGGUACCUCAGGUAUCAGCAACGGCUAACUACGUGCCAGCAGCCGCGGUAAUACGUAGGUGGCAAGCGUUAUCCGGAUUUAUUGGGUGUAAAGGGCGUGUAGGCGGGAAAGCAAGUCAGAUGUGAAAACUUAGGGCUGAACCCUGAGCCUGCAUUUGAAACUGUUUUUCUUGAGUGCUGGAGAGGCAAUCGGGAUUCCGUGUGUAGCGGUGAAAUGCGUAGAUAUACGGAGGAACACCAGUGGCGAAGGCGGAUUGCUGGACAGUAACUGACGCUGGGGCGCGAAAGCGUGGGGAGCAAACAGGAUUAGAUACCCCUUGUAGUC